rnacentral:rRNA from 1 species
AUUGAACGCUGGCGGCAGGCCUAACACAUGCAAGUCGAACGGAGUGGCGAACGGGUGCGUAAUGUAUCGGAACGUGCCCAGUAGCGGGGGAUAACUACGCGAAAGCGUAGCUAAUACCGCAUACUAUUGGAGCGGCCGAGAUCGGAUUAGCUAGUUGGUGGGGUAACGGCUCACCAAGGCGACGAUCCGUAGCUGGUUUGCGAGGACGACCAGCCACACUGUGACUGAGACCCGGCCCAGACUCCUACGGGAGGCAGCAGUGGGGAAGUUUGGACAAUGGGGGAAACCCUGCUCCAGCCAUGCCGAGUGUAUGAAGAAGGCCUUCGGGUUGUAAAGUACUUUCAGCGAGGAGGCGUUACUCGCAGAAGAAGCACCGGCUAACUCCGUGCCAGCAGCCGCGGUAAUAC